GGAAUGACAAAGUCUGCAUAUUCAGUACAGAUAUGUUUCUAGAAUACUUUAGUCUGCAGUUGAUUGAAGCUGGAUGCAGAACUUGGAGCCAUGGAGGACCAAGAACGUUGAAAAUGCAACAAUAAGGGGAAAUGCAAUUUAAAAGUGGGCUGAAAAGUAAAGACAGACUUUAUUAGAGAUUAUACACAUGGUAUCCACAGUUGCUAGAAUGCCCCCAUUAAAUGGCCUGUCAGGAGGAAAUAAAUCUCCAUCUUGUUUUCAUGUGCUAUUACAUGGGCUUUGCCUCACAACAAAGGAACCUAAUUUUGACCGACUCAAGAAAGUUUGAACCCUGAAGUCAUUGCUUUGAAAAUAAAAGGCUUGUUUAUGUAAGUG